rnacentral:ncRNA from 1 species
CCCGCUGAGUUUAAGCAUAUAAAUAAGCGAAGGAGAAGAAACUUACAAGGAUUCCCCUAGUAACGGCGAGCGAACCGGGAGUAGCCCAGCUUGAGAAUCGGGCGGCUGUGCCAUCCGAAUUGUAGUCUGGAUAGGCGUCCUCAGCGACGGACGGGGCCCAAGUCCCCUGGAAAGGGGCGCCUGGGAGGGUGAGAGCCCCGUCCGGCCCGGACCCUGUCGCCCCACGAGGCGCCGUCAACGAGUCGGGUUGUUUGGGAAUGCAGCCCAAAUCAGGCGGUAGACUCCGUCCAAGGCUAAAUACAGGCGAGAGACCGAUAGUGAACAAGUACCGCGAGGGAAAGAUGAAAAGGACUUUGAAAAGUGAGUCAAAGAGUGCUUGAAAUUGCCGGGAGGGAGGCGGAUGGGGGCCGGCGAUGCGCCCCGGCCGUAUGCGGAACGGCUCUUGCUGGUCCGCCGCUCGGCUCGGGGUGUGGACUGUUGUCGGCCACGCCGGCGGCCAAAGCCCGGGGGCCCUAGGUGCCCCCGGUGGCCGUCGUCGGCAAGGCCGGUACCCGCGCGCCGAAAGGCGUGUCCCUCGGGGCACUGCGCUGCAACGGCCUGCGGGCUCCCCAUCCGACCCGUCUUGAAACACGGACCAAGGAGUCUGACAUGCGUGCGAGUCGAUGGGUUCUGAAACCUGGGAUGCGCAAGGAAGCUGACGAGCGGGAGGCCCUCACGGGCCGCACCGGUGGCCGACCCUGAUCUUCUAUGUAGGGUUCGAGUUGGAGCACGCCUGUCGGGACCCGAAAGAUGGUGAACUAUGACUGAGCGGGGCGAAGCCAGAGGAAACUCUGGUGGAGGCUUGAAGCGAUACUGACGUGCAAAUCGUUCGUCUGACUUGGGUAUAGGGGCGAAAGACUAAUCGAACCAUCUAGUAGCUGGUUCCCUCCGAAGUUUACCUCAGGAUAGCUGGAGCCCAUUACAAGUUCUAUCAAGUAAAGCCAAUGAUUAGAGGCAUCGAGGAUGCAACGUCCUCGACCUAUUCUCAAACUUUAAAUAGGUAGGAUGGUUUCAAACAGUGUACCCUUCCUACACAAACUGAAGGGCACGGUUCCUAUGGGGGNNNNNNNNNNNNNNNNNNNNGGGAGGAGGGGUCCUCCCGGUUGGGCGUAUGGAACUCGGUUGGUUUUUCGUAUGAAAAACACCCGUUUUCGCGUAGCCCAACUCCUUCCCAACGUUGCCUCGGAUGUCCCGUCGUUAUGCCAUCACGAAGGUGUUGGCUCGGUCCCGUGUACGUCUCGUGAGAAAUCCUGACCCAACAGCCGAACGUGGCUCGGGAAACAGGAAAUUACCCCGUUUCGCACAUGGUCCGACCGACGGUAAACAGUCGCAACACUGUCCCUUGAAUGCCACCUUCAGAAACCGUUGCUCCCCGGGGGCAACGUCAUCGCUUGCCUGGUCCAUUUUACGUCUCACAUGAAAUUCU